rnacentral:tRNA from 1 species
GGGAUAUGGCUCAGUUGGUAGAGCGCCUCGUUCGCAACGAGGAGGUCACGAGUUCGACUCUCGUUAUCUCC